rnacentral:misc_RNA from 1 species
GUGAAUCAUCAAAUCUUUGAACGCAAAUUGCGCCUUUUUCGGAAGGCAUGCCUGUUUGAGGGCACCAUUUAACAAAUAAUGUGCAGCGUUUUUUGUUGCACACGUUGAUGAGCUUUUCAAGAAUUUUAAAUUUUUUUUGGCGCAUAAUGAACAGCGAGAAUCUUUUUUUUCAGUUCUAAGGUAUUAAAAUCUUUACUUUGUUUGUGAAAAGA